UAUUUAAAUUUAAAUUUUAAAAAAUUUUAUUGUGACUAUAAGUCUUUAAUAAAAUAUUCUGGCUAAAGCUACUAUUAAACGUAUUAUUAAUAUGAAAUUGACCAACACAGCAUUUAUUUUUUUGAGACAGGGUCUCACUUUGUCACCCAGUCUGGAGUGCAGUGACACAAACAUGGCUCCUGGGCUCAAGCGCUCUCCCACCUCAGCCUCCUGUGUAGCUGGGACCACAGGUGUGUGCCACCAUGCCCAGUGUGAAGAUGUGCUUGGUUUCCUUUCGUCCUUCCACCAUGAUUAUAAGUCUCCUGAGAUUUCCCAGCCAAGCUUCCUGUACAGCCUGCAGAACUGUAGAGCCACACAAUUCAAUGAGUGUUUAUUAAGCACCUACUAUGUGCAAGCCUCUAUGUCUCAUGCUGGGGAUGAUUCAAGGAUGACUUGCUCCACCUCUGACCUUAAGGAAAGUGCUACCCAAUAA
rnacentral:lncRNA from 1 species